rnacentral:rRNA from 1 species
CCAGCAGCUGCGGUAAUUCCAGCUCCAAUAGCGUAUAUUAAAGUUGUUGCAGUUAAAAAGCUCGUAGUUGAAUUUUGGGCUCAGCUGAGUGGUCUAGCCUAACGGUUAGUACUGCUUCGGUUGGGCCUUUCCUUCUGGCUAGCCAGUGUGCUCUUAAUUGGGUGCGCUGGGGAACCAGGACUUUUACUGUGAAAAAAUUAGAGUGUUUAAAGCAGGCUUACGCUUGAAUACAUUAGCAUGGAAUAAUAGAAUAGGACUUUGGUUCUAUUUUGUUGGUUUCUAGGACCAAAGUAAUGAUGAAUAGGGAUAGUUGGGGGCAUUAGUAUUGAGCUGUCAGAGGUGAAAUUCUUGGAUUUGCUCAAGACUAACAACUGCGAAAGCAUUUGCCAAGGAUGUUUUCAUUGAUCAAGAACGAAAGU